AGGAUUUUUCCCAGCUCCGAGAGGUUCUCGAGGCAGGUAGCCUCCUGGUGGGCCUUGCUCUUCUUGGGCGGCGUUUGCCUCUGGGAACUUCCCGGGCUGGCUGGGUCC
rnacentral:pre_miRNA from 2 species